UUUGGUGAAGAAACUUCUUGCUCUUGAUGGAGUUUCAGAAAGUGAGAUCUGCUUUGAAGAUUUCCUUUGGGCGAAUUCUAUAUUUUGGUCUCGUGCUCUGAACCUUCCUCUUCCACAUUCUUAUGUAUUUCCCCAAAUUCAAGAAGAUACCGAGAGAACAUGUCCAGUUGAAAGAAGUUCUGAGGUGACCAUCAGUCAUAGUGGACUAAGUGGAGAGCUUGUUAAUGAAAUUGAUGGAAAAAGAUUUGAGGGUCAUGAGAAUGAUAACAAAGUCAAUGGAGCAACUUCCACAUCGAAACAAGAAGAAACUGUCUGGGUGGAGGGUCUUCUCCCUGGCAUUGACUUUUGCAACCAUGACUUGAAGGCAGUGGCAACAUAGGAAGUU